rnacentral:rRNA from 1 species
GACGAACGCUGGCGGCGUGCUUAACACAUGCAAGUCGAGCGGUAAGGACCCUUUCGGGGGUACACGAGCGGCGAACGGGUGAGUAACACGUGGGUGACCUGCCCUCAGCUCUGGGAUAAGCCUGGGAAACUGGGUCUAAUACCGGAUAUGACUCCAUGACGCAUGUUGUGGGGUGGAAAGCCUUGUGCGGCUGAGGGAUGGGGCCCGCGGCCUAUCAGCUUGUUGGUGGGGUGANGGCCUACCAAGGCGACGACGGGUA